AUUGAACGCUGGCGGCAGGCCUAACACAUGCACGUCGAACGAGGGGCGGACGGGUGAGUAAUGCUUGGGAAACUGGCUUAUGGAGGGGGAUAACUACGGGAAACUGUAGCUAAUACAGCAUACCAUAGGAUGAGCCCAAGGGGGAUUAGGUAGUUGGUGAGGUAAAGGCUCACCAAGCCGACGAUCUCUAGCUGGUCUGAGAGGAUGACCAGCCACACUGUGACUGAGACACGGCCCAGACUCCUACGUGAGUCAGCAGUGGGGAAUAUUGCGCAAUGGGGGCAACCUGACGCAGCCAUGCCGCGUGAAUGAAGAAGGCCUUCGGGUUGUAAAGUUCUUUCGGUAGCGAGGCGUUAACUACAGAAGAAGCACCGGCUAACUCCGUGCCAGCAGCCGCGGUAAUAC
rnacentral:rRNA from 1 species